rnacentral:rRNA from 1 species
UUCGUAGGCGGUGUGGCAAAGUCGGGAGUGAAAUCUCUGGGCUCAACCCAGAGGCUGCUUCCGAAACUGCUGUGCUUGAGUGUGAGAGAGGCGCGUGGAAUUGCAGGUGUAGCGGUGAAAUGCGUAGAUAUCUGCAGGAACACCCGUGGCGAAAGCGGCGCGCUGGAUCACUACUGACGCUGAGGAACGAAAGCUAGGGGAGCAAACAGGAUUAGAUACCCUGGUAGUCCUAGCCCUAAACGAUCAGGACUUGGGGUGCCGCCCGUUCGGGCGUCGUCCCGGAGCUAACGCGUUAAGUCCUGCACCUGGGGAGUACGGUCGCAAGACUGAA